UUAUCUUCUCCCCCUCCCCGUGACUCCCGGCAAAGAUAGAGACAUCGGCUUCCUCUCCCCAAACCGACGAGCCGCGGCCAGACUUCCACCAACAAAGCCAUUUGUGUGAGUCCCUAGGAAAUUAUCGGGUUGGGCAGAGAUAGCAGAAGUAAUCGCUGCCCCGGAUGUGAAGAAAAACUGGUCGGGAGAUUUUCUUCCUCUGAGUAUCAGGAUGAAGGAAUGAACACGAUGUAGAAAAAAAAAGAGAAGGAUGCAGGGAAACGAGCAGCGUUUUGAACGGUGGAACGCUCCUAUCUCAUUUUCAUACAGCGAUACGCUCGUGCUUCAAGGAAAGCAGGACAUUGUGUAACUCCAGCUCCUGAGUUCUUUUUACCGGGAUAAAGAAGACUGGAAAAUGGCUGGAUUAGCGGGCACCGAUGCACUCAUAAAUCACUGGAGAAGAAAGCAAUUCUGAGAAAUACUGAGCUGGUCAACAUCCUCCAGAGGGGUGUUUUGGCUUGUUUUUCUAUGCCAAUAUUGAAGAAAUAAA